CAUCACCAAAAGAGAAUGGUUUAUACCUGGCUACUUGUCCCUGAGCUGUGGGCACAAGUGGGUACGCAGAUGCAACAUGCCGGCCAGACCUCUGGUUAUAUGGGCUUGUCGGGAUGUGUCGGGAGCCGCGCUGCGCGCGUCAUCUGGCGCACCUCUGACCGCGUGCAUGUCACUCAAGCCGCGGCAGGCAGCUGCGCUCCAUCUGUAAUCAACGCAGCCGGCACUAAGGAAAGAGAGGAGUACAAGAACCCCCGCCACCAGUGAUCCUUUGCCAAAACGUAGCAACUGUACCCUCCCUGUGUGCGUUCCCGAGCCACGCUGUGUGUCGUGUGCUUUUUGGAUUCCCCUUGUCUUCCUCUGGCUUCCUGGUUUUUCGAUCCCUUGCUCGUCCCCGGACAAACGACGACUCUCUCCUGCCUCUCGACCACGCUUCCGCCUUGGACUUCCCUACCUGCCUUGCCCGCGCCUGACAGCUCAGCUCCUCUCAACACGCACCUCCAACACUUGCGGUAAAUAACACCUCCCGUUAAAUUCCACACAUAGUCUUGCACCCAUUUCAUCUUUGUUACAUACACAUCAGAUUUGACAUACACAUAUAUAUAUAUAAUAUAGUAUAAUAUUAUAUAAUAAUAUAUAAUAUAGUUUUGUAUAAUAUAUCAUAUCAAAUAAUAUAUUAUAUAAAUUAUAUUGAAAUAUUAUUGUAUAGAUAUAUAUUAUAUUAUAUAUAUAUAUACAUACAGCAUUAGAUAUAUCCUUGUUAAAAUAAAGACGCCCCAGGCUAUAAGCUUUUCCCAGUCUCUGUGCCGUCUCCUUCUCCCUGAAACCUUCACAAAAGGAGGGUUCAGGUUGAGGUCAGUUUUUAAGGAAGCUUGAGAAUGUCAUCUGAUCAGCAUCUGACCAGCCAUUUGACAGUUUAAAUGUUUACGAUCGUCGCACACCGAAGCUUGAGAAUGUCAUCUGACCAGCCAUUUGACAGUUUAAAUGUUAACGAUCGUUUGAAACAACAACCAGACUUCCCGAAAACAUCUUUAAACGAUUGCCGAUGACGACGAAGUGAAAGACGAAGAACUUUGUUUGAUCGAUCUUACAAAGUUGGAAGAUGAUUAUCGAGAGGAAUUGCCUUAAGAUCCUAACGCGAUCGUUUUAACACAAUCGCAGUCUGAUUUUCCGUUUACAUCUCCGGCUCGCUGGUCUCCCUUAACGCUGGCGGGUCCGUCAACGGCCGUCGAAGAGAGUCGGCCAUUCCAGGCAGAGGAGAAGGCUUGAUUCCGCCAAAGACUCCAGACAUCGAAACCUUGGUCCGGGACAAUAUCAUCGAAAACAACGGCGAAUGUCCGACAUGCCCCUGCCGUAAGUGUUACCUGCUUUCUGUAAGCUUUUUAAGAUUCUCCGCGGUUUUAAAGAACUCCUCUCACUCCUCUGUCUUCCGGUCAAAUGAAUUUCGCUCCUAAGGGGAAUGAGCAGGGACUGAUUCCGGAGGUGGGCGGUUGUUUCCGGCAAGCAACCUUCUGGUGUGCAUUAGCGCCACCUACUGAAAUGGAGUGUGGACCAAGAUGGAUCCCUACUCUAUAUUCUUUUAUUCAACCCAAUGUUUUUUAAAUACGUGUAUAAUGCUUUAUAUCCUAUGUGUUGUGAAUUCCAUCCUACUAUAUCUUCCAAGGAACCCAAAGAAAUGCUACCACACCUCCCCCUUUAUUUAUUCUGUAGAUUGCCUGAACUAUUUCAUAAACUAAAUCUUGUCUUGUUUCUGAUGCUAUGUUUUUUUAUGCUCAUCAAUGCACUGUUGGAGUGCGAGCACACAACUACUUUCCUUGCUUUGUUUUCCUCUAUCCAGUUAACUGCCGCAUAAAUUGCUACCAAUUCCCCCGUAAACACAGAUAGUUUAUCACUGAUUAUUUUAUUUUUCAAAUCGCAAAGGAUUCAGCAACACAGAUGUCCAAAAUACUGUGUAUUUAUGCCAUUAAAGCAGACGACUUUUAGCCGUAACUGGUGCUGAGCUAAUAU